rnacentral:rRNA from 1 species
GCAAGUCGAACGCUUUUUCUUUCACCGGAGCUUGCUCCACCGAAAAGAAAAAGAGUGGCGAACGGGUGAGUAACACGUGGGUAACCUGCCCAUCAGAAGGGGAUAACACUUGGAAACAGGUGCUAAUACCGUAUAACACUAUUUUCCGCAUGGAAGAAAGUUGAAAGGCGCUUUUGCGUCACUGAUGGAUGGACCCGCGGUGCAUUAGCUAGUUGGUGAGGUAACGGCUCACCAAGGCAACGAUGCAUAGCCGACCUGAGAGGGUGAUCGGCCACACUGGGACUGAGACACGGCCCAGACUCCUACGGGAGGCAGCAGUAGGGAAUCUUCGGCAAUGGACGAAAGUCUGACCGAGCAACGCCGCGUGAGUGAAGAAGGUUUUCGGAUCGUAAAACUCUGUUGUUAGAGAAGAACAAGGAUGAGAGUAAAAUGUUCAUCCCUUGACGGUAUCUAACCAGAAAGCCACGGCUAACUACGUGCCAGCAGCCGCGGUAAUACGUAGGUGGCAAGCGUUGUCCGGAUUUAUUGGGCGUAAAGCGAGCGCAGGCGGUUUCUUAAGUCUGAUGUGAAAGCCCCCGGCUCAACCGGGGAGGGUCAUUGGAAACUGGGAGACUUGAGUGCAGAAGAGGAGAGUGGAAUUCCAUGUGUAGCGGUGAAAUGCGUAGAUAUAUGGAGGAACACCAGUGGCGAAGGCGGCUCUCUGGUCUGUAACUGACGCUGAGGCUCGAAAGCGUGGGGAGCGAACAGGAUUAGAUACCCUGGUAGUCCACGCCGUAAACGAUGAGUGCUAAGUGUUGGAGGGUUUCCGCCCUUCAGUGCUGCAGCAAACGCAUUAAGCACUCCGCCUGGGGAGUACGACCGCAAGGUUGAAACUCAAAGG